rnacentral:rRNA from 1 species
UACGUAGGGGGCGAGCGUUGUCCGGAAUUAUUGGGCGUAAAGGGCUCGUAGGCGGUCUGUUGCGUCAGGAGUGAAAACUCGGGGCUUAACCCCGAGCCUGCUUCUGAUACGGGCAGACUAGAGGUAUGCAGGGGAGAACGGAAUUCCUGGUGUAGCGGUGAAUGCGCAGAUAUCAGGAGGAACACCGGUGGCGAAGGCGGUUCUCUGGGCCUGUACUGACGCUGAGGAACGAAAGCGUGGGGAGCGAACAGG